GGGCUACACACGUGCUACAAUGGUCGGUACAAAGGGUUGCUACACAGCGAUGUGAUGCUAAUCUCAAAAAGCCGAUCGUAGUCCGGAUUGGAGUCUGCAACUCGACUCCAUGAAGUCGGAAUCGCUAGUAAUCGUGGAUCAGAAUGUCGCGGUGAAUACGUUCCCGGGUCUUGUACACACCGCCCGUCACACCAUGGGAGUGGGUUCUACCAGAAGUGGCUAGUCUAACCGCAAGGAGGACGGUCACCACGGUAGGAUUCAUGACUGGGGUGAAGUCGUAACAAGGUAGCCGUAUCGGAAGGUGCGGCUGGAUCACCUCCUU
rnacentral:rRNA from 14 species